AUUGAACGCUGGCGGCAGGCCUAACACAUGCAAGUCGAACGAGUGGCGGACGGGUGAGUAAUGUCUGGGAAACUGCCCGAUGGAGGGGGAUAACUACUGGGAACGGUAGCUUAUACCGCAUACCAUCGGAUGUGCCCAGCUGGGAUUCGCUAGAGGGUGGGGUAACGGCUCACAUAGGCGACGAUCCCUAGCUGGUCUGAGAGGAUGACCAGCCACAAUGGAAUGGAGAAACGGCCCAGACUCCUACGGGAGGCAGCAGUGGGGAAUAUCGCACAAUGGGCGCAAGCCUGAGGCAGCCAGGCCGCGUGUAGGAAGAAGGCCUUCGGGUUGUAAAGUACUUUCAGCGAGGAGGCGUUACUCGCAGAAGAAGCACCGGCUAACUCCGUGCCAGCAGCCGCGGUAAUUC
rnacentral:rRNA from 1 species